rnacentral:rRNA from 1 species
GACGAACGCUGGCGGCGUGCUUAACACAUGCAAGUCGAACGAAGUGGCGAACGGGUGAGCAACGCGUUAUCAACCUGCCCUUCAGGGGGGGACAACAGGUGGAAACGACUGCUAAUACCGCAUAUGGAAGGUGUUGAUUGCGUCUGAUUAGUUAGUUGGAGGGGUAACGGCCCACCAAGGCGAUGAUCAGUAGCCGGUCUGAGAGGAUGAACGGCCACAUUGGGACUGAGACACGGCCCAGACUCCUACGGGAGGCAGCAGUGGGGAAUCUUCCGCAAUGGACGGAAGUCUGACGGAGCAACGCCGCGUGAGUGAUGACGGCCUUCGGGUUGUAAAGCUCUGUUAAUCGGGACGCGGUACCGGAAUAGAAAGCCACGGCUAACUACGUGCCAGCAGCCGCGGUAAUUC